rnacentral:rRNA from 1 species
CCUACGGGAGGCAGCAGUGGGGAAUAUUGGGCAAUGGGCGAAAGCCUGACCCAGCAACGCCGCGUGAAGGAAGAAGGCUUUCGGGUUGUAAACUUCUUUUGACAGGGAAGAGCAGAAGACGGUAUCUGCCGAAUAAGCCAUGGCUAACUACGUGCCAGCAGCCGCGGUAAUACGUAGGUGGCAAGCGUUGUCCGGAUUUACUGGGUGGAAAGGGCGUGUAGCCGGGCUGACAAGUCAGAUGUGAAAUCCGGGGGCUCAACCCCCGAACUGCAUUUGAAACUGUUGGUCUUGAGUAUCGGAGAGGCAGGCGGAAUUCCUAGUGUAGCGGUGAAAUGCGUAGAUAUUAGGAGGAACACCAGUGGCGAAGGCGGCCUGCUGGACGACAACUGACGGUGAGGCGCGAAAGCGUGGGGAGCAAACAGGAUUAGAUACCCCAGUAGUC